rnacentral:rRNA from 1 species
UACGUAGGUGGCAAGCGUUGUCCGGAGUUAUUGGGCGUAAAGCGCGCGCAGGCGGUGCGGUAAGUCUCUGGUGAAAGCGCUCGGCUUAACUGGGCGAGGGCCGGGGAGACUGCCACGCUGGAGGGGAGCAGAGGCGAGUGGAAUUCCGGGUGUAGCGGUGGAAUGCGUAGAGAUCCGGAAGAACACCGGUGGCGAAGGCGGCCUGCUGGGCAGUGGCUGACGCUGAGGCGCGGCAGCGUGGGGAGCAAACAGG